GUGUCAGAAGUCAAAGUGGUCGAGACGCUUGUCUGUGGAACAAGUAAUUAGGGAGUUCAAGUCUCCUCUGACACCC
rnacentral:tRNA from 1 species